GCCGGUGGUCAGUACGGUGAGGUUGACUGUCAGACAGCUGGUGAUCCGUCGUGGGCUAGUUGUCAUCCUCAUGUUCCUCAUCCUCACCGCUGGAAUCAUCCUCAGUGAACUGCUCACCAGCCUGCUGCUCGGAUAAACUGAGCCAAAGAGAUUACCCACAGCCACAUAUACAGUACAGGAGGUUACCACAGUACAGGAGGUUACCCACAGCCACAUAUACAGUACAGGAGGUUACUACAGCCACAUAUACAGGAGGUUAGUACAGCCACAUAUACAGGAGAUUACUACAGCCACAUAUACAGUAGAGGAGGUUACUACAGCCACAUAUACAGUACAGGAGGUUACUACAGCCACAUAUACAGGAGGUUACAGUCAACCACAUAUACAGUACAGGAGCCAUAUGUAUUUAAACCAAAGAUGGUACUCACACAGCCAUACAGGAGUUACUGUAUGACCCAAAGGGUUCACUGCUGUGGACAUUUAAUCAUGGACAAUAGAAGGGAAUGAUCACUAACCCAGAAGGCAACAUUUGGCACCUUAUGUCGUCUUAAUAAUGUAAUUUACUGGUUUUUAACUGGAUAAGAAUGUGUAUAGCCAGAUGACAACCCUGGUCUCUGUUACCAGUUAGACAUAUCUUGACAAGAUCAGGAUGGGAAGGAUUUUGAUUGUUAUCAGAUUACAGACAGAUGUAUUUUUCUGGUUGGUAAAAAGACGUUAACGAAACUUCCUACAACCGGUAUACAACCUGACCAGUUUUGCCCACUGGGAACAGGUUCAUGGUUGGUCAUCCCUUGAAGGUUAUUAACACUGUUAGCAUUGCAGGGCAUGUCGGAAUGGCUUCCACUGACUUGAGAAGGUCGUGGAAACAAUGUGCUCUUCAUUAGAUAAUGUGUUCGGUAACAAAACUCUUUUUUUAAGGAGAUGUUUUUCUAGUGGCUACUAAUAACAACAAGUCUGUUGUGUUUUGAAGUGGAGCUGGUUCCCUAUUCUGCUUUUCACGUUCUGUCAUCAUUAAAUUAAAUCUG